GAUUGAAAUUGGAACUUCAGCCGGCCUAAACGUAUUAUUGAAACCAGGUAUUUGAUCCAAUAGUGUCCAAUAAUGUACUACAGCUGAGUGUAAACAGUACAAGUUAAAACUUUUUUUUUUUUAAGUAUUGUUUUUAGAUUCCAACUUAGCGGUGUAAUUAGGUAACAAUAGAAUAACUUACACAGUCACACUAUGUUUAUGUUUGGUGCUUUUCCGCUCACGUCCUGUAGGGGGCAGUAAUGCACUUAUCUAACUGUUGCCAACUGUCAGACAACUGAAGAAGUAAAUAAGACUUUUUAGCUAUUUCUGGACCCUUUCCAAUGUUAAUGCUGUAAAAUAAAAUAGUGUGUGUGUUUUUAGUCUUCAUCAUGACUGAAAGCUUAAAGAAAGAAAUGCCGACGGGGAAUCCUUCAUCAUGGCUGAAAGCUUCAAGAAAUAAAUGCCGACUGGGAAUUUGCAGAUUCUUGUUGGCAAAGAUGGUGAAGAGCAGAUGGGAGGAGGGCAAGGGAGAAUCCUGCACAUGCCAUCUUCUUUGACAUUCCUGACAGAGUCUCCUGUCGCGGCCUGAAGCUUUUCCUUGGACAGCUGGGACCCGGCAACAUGAUCCCCAGGCAGCGGGCCACCCCUACACUAACUCUCUUUGCCAUGUGAGGAAGAGCACGAUGAAGAAGAAAUACCCUACAAACAGCAGGUGUGUUGACGCGCAGUGUCUCAGGGGAGUCGACGGCAGCUAUGGACGGCACAAGCUCAGCUUUUCUCCGGUAAGAAGCGACUUU